GACGAACCGUGCGAACGUUGUUCGGAAUCACUGGGCUUAAAGGGCGCGUAGGCGGGUGACCAAGUCAGGGGUGAAAUCUUUCGGCCCAACCGGAAAAGUGCCUCUGAUACUGGUCGUCUUGAGGGAGGUAGGGGUCGAGGGAACUGGUGGUGGAGCGGUGAAAUGCGUAGAUAUCACUAGGAACGCCGGUGGCGAAAGCGCUCGACUGGACCUCCUCUGACGCUGAGGCGCGAAAGCCAGGGGAGCAAACGGG
rnacentral:rRNA from 1 species